rnacentral:rRNA from 1 species
CCAUGCCGCGUGAAUGAUGAAGGUCUUAGGAUUGUAAAAUUCUUUCACCGGGGAAGAUAAUGACGGUACCCGGAGAAGAAGCCCCGGCUAACUUCGUGCCAGCAGCCGCGGUAAUACGAAGGGGGCUAGCGUUGCUCGGAAUUACUGGGCGUAAAGGGCGCGUAGGCGGACAGUUUAGUCAGAGGUAAAAGCCCAGGGCUCAACCUUGGAACUGCCUUUGAUACUGGCUGUCUUGAGUUCGGGAGAGGUGAGUGGAAUGCCGAGUGUAGAGGUGAAAUUCGUAGAUAUUCGGCGGAACACCAGUGGCGAAGGCGACUCACUGGCCCGAUACUGACGCUGAGGCGCGAAAGCGUGGGGAGCAAACAGGAUUAGAUACCCUGGUAGUCCACGCUGUAAACGAUGAGUGCUAGUUGUCGGCAUGCAUGCAUGUCGGUGACGCAGCUAACGCAU